rnacentral:ncRNA from 2 species
UGAGGUAGUAGGUUGUGUGGCU